rnacentral:rRNA from 1 species
GAUGAACGCUGGCGGCGUGCCUAAUACAUGCAAGUCGAGCGAACAGAUAAGGAGCUUGCUCCUUUGACGUUAGCGGCGGACGGGUGAGUAACACGUGGGUAACCUACCUAUAAGACUGGGAUAACUUCGGGAAACCGGAGCUAAUACCGGAUAAUAUUUCGAACCGCAUGGUUCGAUAGUGAAAGAUGGUUUUGCUAUCACUUAUAGAUGGACCCGCGCCGUACUAGCUAGUUGGUAAGGUAACGGCUUACCAAGGCGACGAUACGUAGCCGACCUGAGAGGGUGAUCAGCCACACUGGAACUGAGACACGGUCCAGACUCCUACGGGAGGCAGCAGUAGGGAAUCUUCCGCAAUGGGCGAAAGCCUGACGGAGCAACGCCGCGUGAGUGAUGAAGGUCUUCGGAUCGUAAAACUCUGUUAUUAGGGAAGAACAUACGUGUAAGUAACUGUGCACGUCUUGACGGUACCUAAUCAGAAAGCCACGGCUAACUACGUG